UACGAAGGGUGCAAGCGUUACUCGGAAUUACUGGGCGUAAAGCGUGCGUAGGUGGUUUGUUAAGUCUGUUGUGAAAGCCCCGGGCUCAACCUGGGAAUGGCAAUGGAUACUGGCAAGCUAGAGUGCGGUAGAGGGUAGUGGAAUUCCCGGUGUAGCAGUGAAAUGCGUAGAUAUCGGGAGGAACACCAGUGGCGAAGGCGGCGACCUGGGCCAAUAUUGACGCUGAGGUGCGAAAGCGUGGGGAGCAAACAGG
rnacentral:rRNA from 1 species